rnacentral:rRNA from 1 species
CCUACGGGAGACUGCAGUGGGGAAUAUUGGGCAAUGGGCGCAAGCCUGACCCAGCAACGCCGCGUGAAGGAAGAAGGCUUUCGGGUUGUAAACUUCUUUUAAGAGGGAAGAGCAGAAGACGGUACCUCUUGAAUAAGCCACGGCUAACUACGUGCCAGCAGCCGCGGUAAUACGUAGGGGGCAAGCGUUGUCCGGAUUUACGGGGUGUAAAGGGCGUGCAGCCGGGAAGACAAGUCAGAUGUGAAAUCCCGCGGCUCAACCGCGGAACGGCCUUUGAAACUGUUUUUCUUGAGUACCGGAGAGGUCAUCGGCCUUCCUUGUGUAGCGGUGCACUGCGUAGAUCUCCGG